GUCUAACAAAAAACCUGCUCGGCUGCUGUGGACCCAGGCAGCGGGGAUUUCCACAGCUUCACUUGUAAGGCAAACACCCACAGCAGCGGUGCCUCCCGGGAGGCGGGGCUGGACGGGAAUGGCACCUCCCCACGCUGAACACGGAGGAGAACGCCCAACUGGAGGACCUCGGGCCGAACAGAUGGUACCAGUUCAGAGUGGCUGCAGUUAAUGCCCAGGGCACCCGGGGCUUCACUCCUCCAAGCAAACGCUUUCAGUCUUCCAGAGAGAUGUCAAAUGAGUUACCUGCGUCUCAGGAGAG
rnacentral:lncRNA from 1 species